rnacentral:sRNA from 1 species
GCUGCCGCAGCCGGUCGGAACGAAGUUGUCUCCUGUCAGCCGCUGUCCCCUUCGCCGCGAUGCCGCUGGAGAACCUGGAGGAAGAGGGUCUGCCCAAGAACCCCGACUUGCGUAUCGCGCAGCUGCGCUUCCUGCUCAGCCUGCCCGAGCACCGCGGAGACGCUGCCGUGCGCGACGAGCUGAUGGCGGCCGUCCGCGAUAACAGUGAGGCCCGCACGAGCGCCGAGUCAGCGGCCUAGGCCUGGGCCGUCCCCGCGUUCUGGAGCCCGCGGGGACUUUUUUUGAUGGAGCUCCAGACCCCUCUGACGGGGUCUCAGAGACCAGGCCUGGCUUCUCCGGCCCUUAGGGUUUUGCUUUGGUUUGGGGAUACCCGGGGGGACCUCGACUUGCCUCAGCGGGGUCUGCAUCUCUCUGUGCCGCCUUCCCCUACAUGGCUCCUUACUAUGAAGCCUUGUGCAAAUCCCUCGACUGGCAGAUAGACGUGGACCUACUCAAUAAAAUGAAGAAGGCAAAUGAAGACGAGUUGAAGCGUUUGGAUGAGGAGCUGGAAGAUGCAGAGAAGAAUCUAGGAGAGAGCGAAAUUCGCGAUGCAAUGAUGGCAAAGGCCGAGUACCUCUGCCGGAUAGGUGACAAAGAGGGAGCUCUGACAGCCUUUCGCAAGACAUAUGACAAAACUGUGGCCCUGGGUCACCGAUUGGAUAUUGUAUUCUAUCUCCUUAGGAUUGGCUUAUUUUAUAUGGAUAAUGAUCUCAUCACACGAAACACAGAAAAGGCCAAAAGCUUAAUAGAAGAAGGAGGAGACUGGGACAGGAGAAACCGCCUAAAAGUGUAUCAGGGUCUUUAUUGUGUGGCUAUUCGUGAUUUCAAACAGGCAGCUGAACUCUUCCUUGACACUGUUUCAACAUUUACAUCCUAUGAACUCAUGGAUUAUAAAACAUUUGUGACUUAUACUGUCUAUGUCAGUAUGAUUGCCUUAGAAAGACCAGAUCUCAGGGAAAAGGUCAUUAAAGGAGCAGAGAUUCUUGAAGUGUUGCACAGUCUUCCA